CGCUGACGAGUGGCGGACGGGUGAGUAAUGUCUGGGAAACUGCCUGAUGGAGGGGGAUAACUACUGGAAACGGUAGCUAAUACCGCAUAACGUCGCAAGACCAAAGAGGGGGACCCUCGGGCCUCUUGCCAUCGGAUGUGCCCAGAUGGGAUUAGCUUGUUGGUGGGGUAACGGCUCACCAAGGCGACGAUCCCUAGCUGGUCUGAGAGGAUGACCAGCCACACUGGAACUGAGACACGGUCCAGACUCCUACGGGAGGCAGCAGUGGGGAAUAUUGCACAAUGGGCGCAAGCCUGAUGCAGCCAUGCCGCGUGUAUGAAGAAGGCCUUCGGGUUGUAAAGUACUUUCAGCGGGGAGGAAGGGAGUAAAGUUAAUACCUUUGCUCAUUGACGUUACCCGCAGAAGAAGCACCGGCUAACUCCGUGCCAGCAGCCGCGGUAAUACGGAGGGUGCAAGCGUUAAUCGGAAUUACUGGGCGUAAAGCGCACGCAGGCGGUUUGUUAAGUCAGAUGUGAAAUCCCCGGGCUCAACCUGGGAACUGCAUCUGAUACUGGCAAGCUUGAGUCUCGUAGAGGGGGGUAGAAUUCCAGGUGUAGCGGUGAAAUGCGUAGAGAUCUGGAGGAAUACCGGUGGCGAAGGCGGCCCCCUGGACGAAGACUGACGCUCAGGUGCGAAAGCGUGGGGAGCAAACAGGAUUAGAUACCCUGGUAGUCCACGCCGUAAACGAUGUCGACUUGGAGGUUGUGCCCUUGAGGCGUGGCUUCCGGAGCUAACGCGUUAAGUCGACCGCCUGGGGAGUACGGCCGCAAGGUUAAAACUCAAAUGAAUUGACGGGGGCCCGCACAAGCGGUGGAGCAUGUGGUUUAAUUCGAUGCAACGCGAAGAACCUUACCUGGUCUUGACAUCCACGGAAGUUUUCAGAGAUGAGAAUGUGCCUUCGGGAACCGUGAGACAGGUGCUGCAUGGCUGUCGUCAGCUCGUGUUGUGAAAUGUUGGGUUAAGUCCCGCAACGAGCGCAACCCUUAUCCUUUGUUGCCAGCGGUCCGGCCGGGAACUCAAAGGAGACUGCCAGUGAUAAACUGGAGGAAGGUGGGGAUGUCGUCAAGUCAUCAUGGCCCUUACGACCAGGGCUACACACGUGCUACAAUGGCGCAUACAAAGAGAAGCGACCUCGCGAGAGCAAGCGGACCUCAUAAAGUGCGUCGUAGUCCGGAUUGGAGUCUGCAACUCGACUCCAUGAAGUCGGAAUCGCUAGUAAUCGUGGAUCAGAAUGCCACGGUGAAUACGUUCCCGGGCCUUGUACACACCGCCCGUCACACCAUGGGAGUAGGUUGCAAAAGAAGUAAGUAGCUUAACCUUCGGGAGGGCGCUUACCACUUUGUGAUUCAUGACU
rnacentral:rRNA from 1 species